rnacentral:rRNA from 1 species
UACAGAGGUCUCAAGCGUUGUUCGGAUUCAUUGGGCGUAAAGGGUGUGUAGGUGGCGCCGUAAGUCGGGUGUGAAAUCUCGGGGCUUAACUCCGAAACUGCAUUCGAUACUGCGGUGCUUGAGAACUGGAGAGGAGACUGGAAUUCAUGGUGUAGCAGUGAAAUGCGUAGAGAUCAUGAGGAAGACCAGUGGCGAAGGCGGGUCUCUGGACAGUUCCUGACACUGAGACACGAAGGCCAGGGGAGCAAACGGG